UUUUCAGGGUUGAUCGCAGCUGGACAAAUUCUACCCGCUCUUUCAUCGCCUGUCUUCGCCUUUCUUCUUGGACACCGCACCAAAAGGAAUGUGACUUGAGCGAAGGACAACGCUCACACGUAGAUUUUUCUUGUCGUUAUUGUCCGAGACAAAUACAAACAAGUUUCUAGGAUGAAGGCGGCCAAAGCUCAAAGCAUCCUCCCUCGUCCUGGUUGCCGACACUUUGCGGAAAGUGUGUCCGACACCUGCCAUUGUUGGCGUUUGUUGUCACGUUGUGCCUGUCCAAAGCCCCGCCUCCCGUGUCCUUUCACUUAUAAAGACUGUCUGUAAAUGCCAUCCUUGAUGAACGGCCAGGAUUCCAGCCUCAACACCAAGAGCAAGUCCAGGUGGUGAUGAUGACGCCGAUACAUCUCCAAGCAUCCCGUAAAUAUGCUUAGUGGAAGUGGAUUUCCCAAUCAAUUGUUGGGCAUUUCAUACAAAAUUCAAAACAGAACAAGGAGCCAGAUAUCAGAGGGUUACAUGUACACUAAAAAUAUUUGGUGUUAAAAUGACACCACCAGUAUAUAUAAAGGACCACAUCAAGCACUUAACACCAGUGUAAAAUUCAUGGUGCAUUCUAAAAAUCCAUUACUACUAAGUUACUAUCACAUGUUCUGUAUUUUAUUUCAACACCGAUUGCUGUUAUGUUCAACACCCAUCUGUUAUGUUCAACACCCAUUGGAGUUACUUACUAUCACACAUUCUGUUUGUUAUUUAUAACACUGUUUGGUGGUUAGUUAAAAACCCACAGAAGUUACUAUCACAUCAUUUGUUUGUUAUUUUAGCACUGUUUGGUGUAGUGUUACUUUGUUAUUUUAACACUGUUUGGUGUAGCAUUCUUUUGUUAUUUUAACACUGUUUGGUGUAGUGUUUCUUUGUUAUUUUAACACUGUUUGGUGUAGUUUUCCUUUGUUAUUUUAACACUGUUUGGUUUAGUGUUCCUUUGUUAUUUUAACACUGUUUGGUGUAGUAUUCUUUUUUUAUUUUAACACUGUUUGGUGUAGUGUUCCUUUUAUUUUAACACUGUUUGGUGUAGUGUUCCUUUGUUGUUUUAACACUGUUUGGUAUAGUGUUCCUUUGUUAUUUUAACACUGUUUGGUGUAGUGUUCCUUUGAUUUUAACACUGUUUGGUGUAGUGUUCCUUUGUUAUUUUAACACUGUUUGGUGUAGUGUUCACACUCCAUGGUGUAUUUUUAAUUGAGAGAUGAAUGUUUGUACCAAUAGUUUGGUAAAAUACAUAAACUUAAAAAAAAAUACGUAAAAAUCUAAUAUGUAAUCACGACCCUCAUGACAAAGUGUGACAUCAAAUAAUUCAGGCCAUUUAAGAAAGCUCAAUAAAGACUAUUGUCAAAGGUCAUUAGUUUUGAAACAAAAAUACUCAGCUGGCAAGCGAUGAAUAUUCAUAAAAUUUUAAUGUACAUUAUUGUGCUAUGUAGCUAAAGAGUUUUUUUGGUUAUUUUUUGGGGUUGUCAAUUUCUUUUUUAGCUCUGGUGUGGGUCUUUAAGCACAUGUUUUUUUCACUUUUGUUGCAUAAAAAAGAAUAAAAUUUUGUUGUUGCCAUUUGUGACAUUCAAGGCCUGGUCCCAUUUGCCGACGGACACAAAACAUAUUCAUCACUGAUACAGCGGACAAGCAAAAUUUUAGGUUGGCUCCAUCCGUUUUCAUCCGCUCCAGACAAUGGACAAAAUGGGCAAACAAUGAAAUCACAGUGGACGGAUGCUCGAUGGAUAUAGAGCGUAUGAAACACGUAUGCAAAGAGUCCACAACGGAUACGUAACGUUUUCCAACGGAUGGCAAGAUUCUUUUCCGUCUAUCAUCCUCUCUGCAUCCGUAAGUGCAAUGGGACCAAGCCUUUACACCCUUGCAAAACCUUUGCAAAUCAUUUGUUAGUCCCAUGAAAAAAAAACACUUUUGAUAAAAAAAGGAGGAGAGAAUGUUUGUUUCUCUUUUAUCUUGUAUGGUAUUUCACUUUUAGCUCUGGUAUGGGUCUUCAAGCGCAUGUUUUGUGCACUUUUGUUGCAUUAAAAAAAAGAAAAUUUGGGCGUUACCAUUUUUGACAUUUAGAUCCUCGCAAAACCUUUGCAAUUUUGUGAGUCCAAGGAAAAGGACACUUAAUAAAAAAAAAGAAAAAAGGGAAAGAAAGUUUUUUUUUUGUUAUCUUGUAUGGUAGUUUGGGAUAUGAUUACUUCAUGCAACUUGAAUAAAUAUGCUUGUAAUUUUU